GAACAGAGAAUGGCAGUGGGCGCUGGAGGGCACGCUAGCGUCAGCACUGACGUUAGCGGGGAGAGGCGAGAGAUCAGAUCACCUUGUGGGCGGACAGCAGGCGGCCGUGGAGGGCAAUGCCCAGGGUGGCAGCCAGUCCACGAGGGCGCACUCACUGAGGAUCAGCAGUAUGUUCGGGUCCGCACCCAGCAGAGCCCCAGGCCCAGCAGUAGCGCCCAGCAGGGCGGCUCCAGGCGGCACCUGCCUGCAGUCCUGAUCCUGUCCCCGCCGCACUGUCAGGUUCGCGCCAGGCCCAGCCCCAGCUCUGGAGCGCUCAGGCCCCGCCCCCGCCCUCCGGGCCCCGCCCCUCGCUGCCCUGCCUGUGCUGUUCCUGGGGCCCCUGCGGUAGUGACGGAUGCAGACCCCUAGCCGCGGCGCCGGAUAGUUCCCUUUCGUCUCUGUUUUUGGAAAAAGGAAGAGAUGGCUUCAGGGAGUCCUUCUGCUUCUAUAAAGAAGAUGUCACGAAUUGCUCAGGGUUGUGUUGCAUCCUAGAAUUAAGGCUCCAUAUGUGUUCAGGUCCAGAAGCAUGAAUGCCAGGCCCACGCCCUCCAGCUGAGACAUGUGGUGCACACACAGUCAGCGCAGGAGGACGGGGGACACUGGCUACUUCUCCAGGAAGCAGUUCGCUCAGGCCAGCAUUCGCCUCUUAGACCCCAAGGGAGUGAAUCCCGACCUGGAGGAAAACGACUUGGUUGAUGGCUGAAAAGUUUUCUGUCCAACCAUUCCCUGGACAGGUGAUGGGGCCCUGAUGGCAAGGCUGCUCCUCGCUGUGCCCCCCGCAGAGGCUGGGCUGCCUGGAGUGGAGGGUCCUCAGUGGGAUCUCCUCCAUGCAGGUGUCUUGGGAACACGUGGGUGUUGUGGGCAUCAUAAGGGUGACUCCUGCUCCUGUACACACACAGUGACUUUGCCCACUGCAGACGCUGAGCUGUAGGACAUCUUGGAGGUGAGGGAAGACAGCACUGCCUCCCUCUGAUGGCCAGGCCUGCCAAUAGAGGAACUCCAAUGGCAUGGAAAUUAGAACUUCUGAUUGUCCUACAUGUCUCUGUGACCCUACCAGCCAGAAGAACAUAGAAGGGUAGAGGAGUGGUCUUCCUCACCUACAGUUGGUGACUCCGGCGGGACCAACUUAACUUGCUGGAUGCUUCUUGCCCAGGGGCUAUGGCAGCUGACAGAUCUUGGACCCUGACAAGAGCUGGCAGGAGGACAUAAUUGGAAACUUGGGCAAUAUUACCAAGGCUUUGACUGGAAUGUCUUAUCUGAGAGAGACAUGCAUAGAUUCAGAUGUGACCAGACAACUCUAAGGAGCAAAGGUUGACUUUAUGGAACAAAAUAAAUCCCCUUGGAAAUAUUUGCCUGGUACCUUGCUACAGGGUUCCCAACAACCUUACCAGAAUCAUUGAGAACUAAAGCUGCCCUUUUCCUGAAGCCCUGUAAACUGAAGCUGUGAGACUUAUUAUCAACUUAAGAGAGAUUGCCACAAUAGCGCAUGUUUAAACAAUCUUCAUGCUUGUUGCUGUGUAAGCCACUCAGAAAGUUACCUGAACACCUGAUGACAUCAUCAGAGACAUUUCAAACUGGAAAAGAUGCUUCAACCCCUACAUCUAGGAAUCUUCUCUUGACUGGCUGCUCUCCAGACUAAGACUGGGUUUAUAGUCUCCUCCAAACAUUACCUUUUAGUUUUGUUUUUGUUUCCAUAGAAAUGCCUCUUUUUAAAUACCUGAUUGCUUGCUUACACAAUAUAGGCCCAACUUUGGGAGACCACCUGCAUCACCACCUCCUGAAAUGAGGCAAAACUGUUUAACUGAACUGAGCUAUUCUCAGGACUGAAUGACUGGUUCAGAGAACUAUGGAGAAAUCUAUCAACUUAGGUUCUGGACUCUGAAUCUUUUUAUUUGAGGUUUCAAAGGCAGGAUGGAAGGGGAACAGAAUUUGCCACCCCACAAUAUGUCUCUUUGGGAUGUUGAUUAUUUUAUGUUGAUAUUCUUUAAGAAACAGAAAACUCAGAACAUUUUUCUUUUACUUCCCCUGUAACCACCUAAAAGAAUUUAGAUAAAUGGCCUGUAACAGGAACAGAGCUAUCACCAGAGAUAUCUACAAAGAAAAUAGGCCAGGUGUGGUGGGGAGACUUGUCAGGGCCUAGAGAUCAGAGUCCUCUCCAUGUCCCGUUGUCUCUGCAUGGCAUGGAAAACAUUUGUUUGCCAAGAAUUUGCUUUUCUCUCUCCAGGUGAAUUGCCUUCCACCCCUUUGAAGUCCCAAACCACUACGCCCAACAUCCUCUUUUGUGUUUAGCUGAAGAUGGUAUUGAAGGUGGUGUCUUUGGCCCUUUUGGGGAGUUACUCAGUUUUCCUGGGUUUCUCCCAUGUAUGCAUGGUAUUAAACUUUGUUUGAUUUUCUCCUAUUAUUCUGUCUCAGGUCAAUUUAAUUCUUAGACCAGCCAGAAGAACCUAGACAGUAGAGGAAAGUGUCUUCCUCCCCUACAUUUCUUUCUAUUAGUUUCAAGGAUAUUUUCCCUUGCUGCAUUGAGCAUGGCUAUAUUAGCUACUUUGUCUGAUAAUUCCUUCACAUAGGGUAUUUCAGGGCUGAAUCUGUUGAUUGUCUUUUCCCUUGAGAAAUGGUCAGAUUUUCUUAUUCUCUGUGUGUUAUGUUGUGUAAUUUUGGAUGGAAUCUUGACAGUUUACUCCUGAUGUUGUGACAUUCUGGUUUCUAUUAAAAUCCUCUGCAGAAUGUU